CCCAAAAGGAAAUUGGGCUACAAUGAAAAGAAAAUUUUCAACAAAAUAAAGGCCCAUUGAACGAGUUGGAGAGAUCAACAAACAUCGCCCCUUCUUGUUCGUAGCUGUGAAAUCAUCAAACUGAGAAGAACAAAUCCGUAUCAGAUUCAUCAUAGAAUGAGUUCAGGAGGUUCCAUUCAGCAGCUAUUGAUGGAGCAAGAGAGUUAGACGAACAGAGAAGAGGCGAACUCGAACUGCUUCAAUAAUCAAUCGCAAUGUACACGGAGCUAGCCAGUCCAUACAGGAAGAAUAAUUGAAAUUUUUCCAAGAACUAGAGGCAGGUCAAAGAAGCCACAAUCCCCAACAAAGCAAAAAUCAACUUUCACCAGAACACUGCUAACAAGGCCCACUCCAUUCUCUGUAUAUUGAAUGGGGAGAUAAUUUGUACUAGUGCCAUCACCAAUGAUAUGCUUGAGAAGGGGCUUGAGAAGCUGAAUCAUUCUCCAACUCAAGGACUGAGGAAUCUUCAUAGACCAAAAGGAGCUGUCACUGAACAGGUAUGAAAUUUUUUCCUCCAGAAAUCAACAGGCUAAGGUGCAAAGUGAACUAUCACGCCCUGAAAUAUCUUCCUGAAAUUGAGCUGAUGGCUGAUCUGCUGGCCUCAAGAAUGAGAAACCGCACAGGCAUUUCAAAUCCAUACAUCUAAGUGAUCCUGAGCAGCCAUCAGUGCCUUCUCCACCUUUGUUCCCACAAAAUCACAGAAUGAUAAGUCUACUAUCCCUUUCUCAAACCUAAGAUGAAGAACCCCCGUUUAAGCAGAAAUUUUCUAGUCUUGCUGUGACCAUGAUAACAAAAAAUAAGCACCGGCUUACAUAGUUUUCCUCUGUGGUGUUUGGCCCUCAGGAUAGUUCCCACUUGCUCUGCAGAAGCGGAAGGAUGCACGGUGCCCUCUUGAUCCUGGGGAAGAAGCAGUGAUGCUUCUGGGCAGGUUUAUGGUGGACAGAACCACAUGGCACCUCUCGGGAACUUGUUCCCAAAUCUUGUAGACUACUGGCUUAAUUUCUUCUCAAAUUCCUUUUGCCAACUGAAGUAUAAGGAGGUUUGGCUGUUGGCGUCAAAUUUAAAAUGCCCCAUACUUGUGCAUAAAAGAUGGUAUCAUUCUUCACUGCCCACAAGUCGAGGAGCAUAACUCAUUCUGGGAGAAUCCUUAUUCGGUCACCACUUCAUGGAAACCUUGUGCUGAGGGACAAAUUGGCGCAAUUUUAGAUCUUCCACCUGAGAAUGAAACGAAUAGACAUAUAUUUAUACACGCUGAGGGUGGUCUGAACCAGCAAAGAAUUGAUAUAAUUGACACCGCAUUGUGGGGGGCAUGGUAUUGUUCUUGAAGACAUCUUUCUCUAGAAGACAAUGUAUGUUGUGCAAAAGACAGCGCCAUUGUCUUUGCUGAGCAACAUCUCAACGACAUAGCGUACUUGUGAGCAUUGCACUCGCAGGAGUGUUGACAUGGGUUUUCUAUAUAGUUUGAUCUCCAUAUUUUUUUUUUUUUUUCUGGGGUAUAUGUAGAAGCGUAUAUGUAUAUAUGGGUUGAGACGUUGAGUACAUACAUGUACAUGUAUAGUAUGACACAAUGAUCUUGCUAAUGGCAUAAACCAAAUUUGCAGGAACCUUAACUUUAAACUCCUUUUUAUCUCCUCUGUUAAAAGACCUAAUUUUGCACAUUAAAUUUAUAAAAAAUAUGCAGCCUCGAUUAGUCUUUAGUUAUAAUCAUAUCGCACUUGAUCAACUACUCUUAUCAAUCAAGUUUGUAUUGGAUUUCAGGGUAAUUUUGUCUUUUUAUAUUUUGAUUUUAAGGGUAAAACUACAAUUUUACAAGCAAAAAUAGGAAUUAUUAAUGUCUUUUUCUCAAAAUGUAUGACACAGUAUUUUGUAAAAAUAUUCUUCAUUUAUUCAACUUAAAAAUGCUCCUCCACUUAGUUCUUCCCCAAAGAUCUGAACUAGCUUUGUCGGGUACUUGAACCUCUAUGAAUGAGUUUUCUUAUUCCCAAAUUAGUGUAAUCUUCACUAGGUUCCUUCAAAGUAAGAAGAAUGAUAGAAAGGAGAAGGAACGAAUGGAGGGAGAGAGUAAGAAAGGAGAAGAAGAAUGUCAUUCCAAUCCCUGAAGUAGUUAAUUGAAUUCUGCCAAACCAUCAGUAAGUUGGGUUUAUUACUACAUUUUGAAUGCAAAUAGGUAAUGUAGCAUAUGGAGACAUACUCAUAUGGUGGUGAAAACAUAGUAAUCCUUCAUGUAACUUGUAGAACCUGUGGCAAUACUAGUUGGUCUUUCUUUUAGAAAAAGUAAAUUUGAUUUGUCAUCGAGAGUGUUUUCUUCAGGUAUGAUAAUGUUUUCCUCCAAAAAUAAACAGGCUAAGGUGCAAAGUGUAUCACGCCCUAAAAUUUCUUCCUGAAUUUGAGCUGAUGGCUGAUCUACUGGCCUCAAGAAUGAGAAACGGCACAGGGGAGGGGAAGGCACUGAUGGCUGCAUACAGAUUGAAAGAAUGGCCUCGACGGACGAAGGUGACCUAGAGUUCAAUUGGCUUUUCUGGUAUUAGAACAAAAAAUAAGUACGGGCUAAUGGUUUUCCUCUGCGGUGUUUGGCCCUCAGGAUAGUUCCAUUUGUGGCCACUGGUUCUGCAGAAGCGGAAGGAUGUACAGUGCCCUCUUGAGCUUGGGUGAUGCUUUAGGCAAUGUGAGUUAGCCUAAGGAAACUCAAAUUUAUGUUGCUUCUGGGCAGGUUUAAAAUCCGUUACUCUUUUUCGAAAUUUCAGCUCAGAUGACUUGGUGAUUUUUAAAUACUAUGCAAUUUAAUCUUACAUUUUGUAUUAAUCAGUUAGCAUUUGAUGGAAUUGUAUGUUCUGGAAAAACUUCAAU